UACGAAGGGGGCUAGCGUUGUUCGGAUUUACUGGGCGUAAAGCGCACGUAGGCGGAUUGUUAAGUCGGGGGUGAAAUCCUGGAGCUCAACUCCAGAACUGCCUUCGAUACUGGCAAUCUCGAGUCCGGAAGAGGUAAGUGGAACUGCGAGUGUAGAGGUGAAAUUCGUAGAUAUUCGCAAGAACACCAGUGGCGAAGGCGGCUCACUGGCCCGGUACUGACGCUGAGGCACGAAAGCGUGGGGAGCAAACAGG
rnacentral:rRNA from 1 species